rnacentral:rRNA from 1 species
ACAUGCAAGUCGAGCGGAAACGAGUUGUCUGAACCUUCGGGGAACGAUAACGGCGUCGAGCGGCGGACGGGUGAGUAAUGCCUAGGAAAUUGCCUUGAUGUGGGGGAUAACCAUUGGAAACGAUGGCUAAUACCGCAUAAUGCCUACGGGCCAAAGAGGGGGACCUUCGGGCCUCUCGCGUCAAGAUAUGCCUAGGUGGGAUUAGCUAGUUGGUGAGGUAAUGGCUCACCAAGGCGACGAUCCCUAGCUGGUCUGAGAGGAUGAUCAGCCACACUGGAACUGAGACACGGUCCAGACUCCUACGGGAGGCAGCAGUGGGGAAUAUUGCACAAUGGGCGAAAGCCUGAUGCAGCCAUGCCGCGUGUGUGAAGAAGGCCUUCGGGUUGUAAAGCACUUUCAGUUGUGAGGAAAAGUUAGUAGUUAAUACCUGCUAGCCGUGACGUUAACAACAGAAGAAGCACCGGCUAACUCCGUGCCAGCAGCCGCGGUAAUACGGAGGGUGCGAGCGUUAAUCGGAAUUACUGGGCGUAAAGCGCACGCAGGCGGCUUGUUAAGCUAGAGGUGAAAGCCCCGCGCUCAACGUGGGAACUGCCUUUAGAACUGGCAGGCUAGAGUCUUGGAGAGGGGAGUGGAAUUCCAGGUGUAGCGGUGAAAUGCGUAGAUAUCUGGAGGAACAUCAGUGGCGAAGGCGGCUCCCUGGCCAAAGACUGACGCUCAUGUGCGAAAGUGUGGGUAGCGAACAGGAUUAGAUACCCUGGUAGUCCACACCGUAAACGCUGUCUACUAGCUGUUUGUGUAUUUAAUACGUGAGUAGCGAAGCUAACGCGCUAAGUAGACCGCCUGGGGAGUACGGCCGCAAGGUUAAAACUCAAAUGAAUUGACGGGGGCCCGCACAAGCGGUGUAGCAUGUGGUUUAUUUCGAUGCAACGCGAAGACCUUACCUAAU